AUGAGAAAAUUUCUUUGGGGGAGGCAGCAGAAAUAGAGAGAGAUUUCUUCCAAAACCAUGACCAUUUCAGAUGCCUCUUGAAUGAGGAUAAAGCAAAGCAACUAUUGAAUGUCUUGCUGUCAAACUGACACACAAUCUUGUUGAUCAUAUC